rnacentral:rRNA from 1 species
GGCGGUAUGCUUAACACAUGCAAGUCGAACGGGCUCUUUCGGGGGCAAGUGGCGGACGGGUGAGUAACGCGUGAGAAUCUGGCUCUAGGUUCGGGACAACCACUGGAAACGGUGGCUAAUACCGGAUGUGCCGAGAGGUGAAAGGUUAACUGCCUGGAGAUGAGCUCGCGUCUGAUUAGCUAGUUGGUGGUGUAAGGGACUACCAAGGCGACGAUCAGUAGCUGGUCUGAGAGGAUGAUCAGCCACACUGGAACUGAGACACGGUCCAGACUCCUACGGGAGGCAGCAGUGGGGAAUUUUCCGCAAUGGGCGAAAGCCUGACGGAGCAAUACCGCGUGAGGGAGGAAGGCUCUUGGGUUGUAAACCUCUUUUCUCAGGGAAUAAGCAAGUGAAGGUACCUGAGGAAUCAGCAUCGGCUAACUCCGUGCCAGCAGCCGCGGUAAUACGGAGGAUGCAAGCGUUAUCCGGAAUGAUUGGGCGUAAAGCGUCCGUAGGUAGCAGUGUGUGUCUAUUGUUAAAGAGUUUGGCUUAACCAAAUAAAGGCGGUAGAAACUACACAGCUAGAGUGCGUUCGGGGCAGAGGGAAUUCCUGGUGUAGCGGUGAAAUGCGUAGAGAUCAGGAAGAACACCGGUGGCGAAAGCGCU